UUCCUCCCCGGCUGCUUGAAGCCUCGCCGCCAUCAUGAACGACACAGUAACUAUCCGGACCAGGAUGUUCAUGACUAACCGACUACUUCAGCGGAAACAGAUGGUCAUUGAUGUUCUUCACCCUGGAAAGGCAACGGUACCUAAGACAGAAAUUCGGGAAAAACUAGCCAAAAUGUACAAGACCACACCAGAUGUCAUAUUUGUGUUUGGAUUCAGAACCCAUUUUGGUGGUGGCAAGACAACCGGCUUUGGCAUGAUUUAUGAUUCCUUGGAUUACGCAAAGAAAAAUGAACUCAAACACAGACUUGCAAGACAUGGCCUGUAUGAGAAGAAAAAGACAUCAAGAAAACAGCGAAAGGAAUGCAAGAACAGAAUGAAGAAAGUCAGGGGGACUGCAAAAGCCAACGUUGGUGCUGGCAAAAGGAAGUGAGCUGGAGAUUGGACAACAGAAGGAGUAAAGAUGCUGCAGUGGCUUUAUCUGUGGUGGUUGUGCAGAUUUUUCAUGAGAGGAUCAAUAAACUAAGAAUGUUAA